ensembl:snRNA U6 U6 spliceosomal RNA
GUGUUCAUUUCAAGAGCACAUAUGCUAAAAUUGGAAUGAUACAGAGAAGAUUAGCAUGGCCCCUGUGCAAGGAUGAUGUAAAUUUGUGAAACAUUAAAAGAAUAGUA